AACGAACGCUGGCGGCAUGCCUAACACAUGCAAGUCGAACGAGACCUUCGGGUCUAGUGUCGCACGGGGGCGUAACGCGUGGGAACCUGCCCUUAUGGUCGGAAUAACUCCCCGAAAGGGGUGCUAAUACCGGAUAAUGGCUUCGGACCAAAGAUUUAUGGCCUUUGGUUGUGCCCGCGUUGGAUUAGCUAGUUGGUAGGGUAAAAGCCUACCAAGGCGACGAUCCAUAGCUGGUCUGAGAGGAUGAUCAGCCACACUGGGACUGAGACACGGCCCAGACUCCUACGGGAGGCAGCAGUGGGGAAUAUUGGAACAUGGGCGAAAGCCUGAUCCAGCAAUGCCGCGUGAGUGAUGAAGGCAUUAGGGUUGUAAAGCUCUUUUACCCGGGAUGAUAAUGACAGUACCGGGAGAAUAAGCUCCGGCUAACUCCGUG
rnacentral:rRNA from 1 species